rnacentral:rRNA from 1 species
GUGCACGCUGGCGGUAGGCCUAACACAUGCAAGUCGAACGGCAGCACAGUAAGAGCUUGCUCUUACGGGUGGCGAGUGGCGGACGGGUGAGGAAUACAUCGGAAUCUACUUUUUCGUGGGGGAUAACGUAGGGAAACUUACGCUAAUACCGCAUACGACCUACGGGUGAAAGCAGGGGAUCUUCGGACCUUGCGCGAUUGAAUGAGCCGAUGUCGGAUUAGCUAGUUGGCGGGGUAAAGGCCCACCAAGGCGACGAUCCGUAGCUGGUCUGAGAGGAUGAUCAGCCACACUGGAACUGAGACACGGUCCAGACUCCUACGGGAGGCAGCAGUGGGGAAUAUUGGACAAUGGGCGCAAGCCUGAUCUAGCCAUACCGCGUGGGUGAAGAAGGCCUUCGGGUUGUAAAGCCCUUUUGUUGGGAAAGAAAAGCAGCAGGUUAAUACCCCGCUGUUCUGACGGUACCCAAAGAAUAAGCACCGGCUAACUUCGUG